rnacentral:rRNA from 1 species
ACUCCUACGGGAGGCAGCAGUGGGGAAUAUUGGACAAUGGGCGCAAGCCUGAUCCAGCCAUGCCGCGUGAGUGAUGAAGGCCCUAGGGUUGUAAAGCUCUUUCACCGGUGAAGAUAAUGACGGUAACCGGAGAAGAAGCCCCGGCUAACUUCGUGCCAGCAGCCGCGGUAAUACGAAGGGGGCUAGCGUUGUUCGGAUUUACUGGGCGUAAAGCGCACGUAGGCGGACUAUUAAGUCAGGGGUGAAAUCCCGGGGCUCAACCCCGGAACUGCCUUUGAUACUGGUAGUCUUGAGUUCGAGAGAGGUGAGUGGAAUUCCGGGUGUAGAGGUGAAAUUCGUGGAUAUUCGGAGGAACACCAGUGGCGAAGGCGGCGCACUGGCGCGAGACUGACGCUGAGGUGCGAAAGCGUGGGGAGCAAACAGGAUUAGAAACCCCGGUAGUCCCAUG